rnacentral:rRNA from 1 species
CAGUCGAGCGAACGGAUAAGGAGCUUGCUCCUUUGAAGUUAGCGGCGGACGGGUGAGUAACACGUGGGUAACCUACCUAUAAGACUGGAAUAACUUCGGGAAACCGGAGCUAAUGCCGGAUAACAUAUAGAACCGCAUGGUUCUAUAGUGAAAGAUGGUUUUGCUAUCACUUAUAGAUGGACCCGCGCCGUAUUAGCUAGUUGGUAAGGUAAUGGCUUACCAAGGCGACGAUACGUAGCCGACCUGAGAGGGUGAUCGGCCACACUGGAACUGAGACACGGUCCAGACUCCUACGGGAGGCAGCAGUAGGGAAUCUUCCGCAAUGGGCGAAAGCCUGACGGAGCAACGCCGCGUGAGUGAUGAAGGUUUUCGGAUCGUAAAACUCUGUUAUUAGGGAAGAACAAAUGCGUAAGUAACUGUGCGCAUCUUGACGGUACCUAAUCAGAAAGCCACGGCUAACUACGUGCCAGCAGCCGCGGUAAUACGUAGGUGGCAAGCGUUAUCCGGAAUUAUUGGGCGUAAAGCGCGCGUAGGCGGUUUCUUAAGUCUGAUGUGAAAGCCCACGGCUCAACCGUGGAGGGUCAUUGGAAACUGGGAAACUUGAGUGCAGAAGAGGAAAGUGGAAUUCCAUGUGUAGCGGUGAAAUGCGCAGAGAUAUGGAGGAACACCAGUGGCGAACGCGACUUUCUGGUCUGUAACUGACGCUGAUGUGCGAAAGCGUGGGGAUCAAACAGGAUUAAAUACCCUGGUAGUCCACGCCGUAACGAUGA